rnacentral:tRNA from 1 species
GCCUUGGUAGUGUAGCGGUCUAUCAUACGGCCCUGUCGAGGCCGUGACCCGGGUUCAAAUCCCGACCAAGGCGCCA